rnacentral:rRNA from 1 species
UGGGGAAUAUUGGACAAUGGGGGAAACCCUGAUCCAGCAAUGCCGCGUGAGUGAAGAAGGCCUUAGGGUUGUAAAGCUCUUUCGCCCGCGAAGAUAAUGACGGUAGCGGGAGAAGAAGCCCCGGCUAACUCCGUGCCAGCAGCCGCGGUAAUACGGAGGGGGCUAGCGUUGUUCGGAAUUACUGGGCGUAAAGCGUACGUAGGCGGAUGCGCAAGUUGGGGGUGAAAUCCCGGGGCUUAACCUCGGAAUUGCCCUCAAAACUGCACGUCUUGAGACCGAGAGAGGUAAGGGGAAUUCCUAGUGUAGAGGUGAAAUUCGUAGAUAUUAGGAAGAACACCAGUGGCGAAGGCGCAUUACUGGCUCGGUACUGACGCUGAGGUACGAAAGCGUGGGGAGCAAACA